rnacentral:tRNA from 1 species
GCUGGGGUGGCAGAGCCUGGUGAAUGCAAAAGGCCUAAGCCCUUUCUACCAGAGGUUCAAAUCCUCUCCCCAGCC